CCUACGGGAGGCAGCAGUGAGGAAUAUUGGUCAAUGGGCGAGAGCCUGAACCAGCCAAGUCGCGUGAGGGAAGACGGUCCUAUGGAUUGUAAACCUCUUUUGCCGGGGAGCAAAAAGAGGUACGUGUACCGCAUCGCGAGUACCCGGAGAAAAAGCAUCGGCUAACUCCGUGACAGCAGCCGCGGUAAUACGGAGGAUGCGAGCGUUAUCCGGAUUGAUUGGGUUAAAAGGGUGCGCAGGCGGCGAGUUAAGUCAGCGGUAAAAUUUCGGGGCUCAACCCCGACAAGCCGUUGAAACUGGCUUGCUAGAGUUGGCGAGAAGUAUGCGGAAUGCGUGGUGUAGCGGUGAAAUGCAUAGAUAUCACGCAGAACUCCGAUUGCGAAGGCAGCAUACCGGCGCCCAACUGACGCUCAGGCACGAAAGCGUGGGUAUCGAACAGGAUUAGAUACCCGGGUAGUC
rnacentral:rRNA from 1 species